rnacentral:sRNA from 1 species
CAGCAACCGGCCCGUGCACGCCUACAAAUUCUUCUUUAAAUCCAUGGACCAGGACUUCGGGGUGGUGAAGGAGGAGAUCUUUGAUGACAACGCCAAGCUUCCCUGCUUCAACGGCCGCGUGGUCUCCUGGCUGGUCCUGGCUGAGGGUGCUCACUCAGAUGCAGGGUCCCAGGGCACGGACAGCCACACAGACCUGCCCCCGCCCCUCGAGCGGACAGGCGGCAUCGGGGACUCUCGGCCCCCUUCCUUCCACCCAAAUGUGGCCAGCAGCCGUGACGGGAUGGACAACGAGACAGGCACGGAGUCCAUGGUCAGCCACCGGCGGGAGCGUGCCCGACGCCGGAACCGCGAGGAGGGUACAGUGGUCAUGUCUGCCCAGCUGUGGACCCCCAGCCUCCCUGGGACCCCCAUGAGCCAUGUUCCUACUACAGCAGUUCCUGUCCCCCAGCCAGUAGCGGUGCUGGGGUGGAGGCACACGCCCAGUGAGCCUACAGUCGAGCCGCCAGCUCCCAGACCCACAGGCAUGCAGCACUGCCCAGGCGGCCCCAAACCCAUGACCUCUGGGAGACCCCGCAGUCAGCUCCCAACUUGCUGCCCCCACAGCCGCCCGGACCAAUGGGCACCCAAGGGGAGACCGAC